GUAAUCAAGCAUCAGAGGAGCCUGAGCGUAAUGUUAAUGUUCUGAGUGCUUCUGAAGUGACAGGAAGUGGUGCAUAUGCCCAGGGACAAAGCCAAGUUGAGGAGCAGAACCACAGUAGCUUGAGGAAGGAAUAGGUGAGAGUGAUCCACCUGCCUCGGCCUCCCAAAGUGCUGGGAUUACAGGCGUGAGCCACCGCGUCCAGCCAAUUGGUGGGUUCCUGGUCUCACUGACUUCAAGAAUGAAGCCACGGACCCUCGCAAUGCUGUUACGAACUUCCCUUAGAAUCAACCCAUUUGUGAAACACCACAUUAAUAAGAGCAGUAUCUUUGGAGAUUGGAGAGUCCACCAAGGAUGCCCACUGGCUCCCUACAAAGUUUUUUAUGUGAGGACUCGGUCUCAGGCUCAGAAGUGGAAGAGAUGUGCCUUGACUCAGAUGAGACUUUGGACUUGGACUUUUGAGUUAAUUCUGGAAUGAGUUAAAACUUUAGGGGACUGUUG
rnacentral:lncRNA from 1 species